UACGAAGGGGGCUAGCGUUGCUCGGAAUCACUGGGCGUAAAGGGUGCGUAGGCGGGUUUUUAAGUCAGGGGUGAAAUCCUGGAGCUCAACUCCAGAACUGCCUUUGAUACUGGAGAGCUCGAGUCCGGAAGAGGUGAGUGGAACUCCGAGUGUAGAGGUGAAAUUCGUAGAUAUUCGGAAGAACACCAGUGGCGAAGGCGGCUCACUGGUCCGGUACUGACGCUGAGGUGCGAAAGCGUGGGGAGCAAACAGG
rnacentral:rRNA from 1 species